rnacentral:rRNA from 1 species
AGUGAACGCUGGCGGUAGGCCUAACACAUGCAAGUCGAACGGCAGCACAGUAAGAGCUUGCUCUUACGGGUGGCGAGUGGCGGACGGGUGAGGAAUACAUCGGAAUCUACUUUUUCGUGGGGGAUAACGUAGGGAAACUUACGCUAAUACCGCAUACGACCUACGGGUGAAAGCAGGGGAUCUUCGGACCUUGCGCGAUUGAAUGAGCCGAUGUCGGAUUAGCUAGUUGGCGGGGUAAAGGCCCACCAAGGCGACGAUCCGUAGCUGGUCUGAGAGGAUGAUCAGCCACACUGGAACUGAGACACGGUCCAGACUCCUACGGGAGGCAGCAGUGGGGAAUAUUGGACAAUGGGCGGAAGCCUGAUCCAGCCAUACCGCGUGGGUGAAGAAGGCCUUCGGGUUGUAAAGCCCUUUUGUUGGGAAAGAAAAGCAGCAGGUUAAUACCCCGCUGUUCUGACGGUACCCAAAGAAUAAGCACCGGCUAACUUCGU